rfam:TPA: Bos taurus chromosome 10, whole genome shotgun sequence.
UCCCUGGUGGUCUAGUGGCUAAUACUCUGCUCUCCCAAUGCAGGGGGCCUGGGUUUGAUCCCUGGUGGGGGAA